rnacentral:rRNA from 1 species
CCCCAAGUCAGGGAUAGCCAUUGGAAACGAUGAUUAAUACCGGAUAGUCUCUACGGAGUAAAAAUUUAUUGCUUGGGGAGGAGUCUACAUUCUAUCAGUUAGUUGGUGAGGUAAAAGCUCACCAAGACUAUGACGGAUAGCUGGUCUGAGAGGAUGAUCAGCCACAAUGAAACUGAGACACGGUUCAUACUCCUACGGGAGGCAGCAGUGAGGAAUCUUCCACAAUGGACGAAAGUCUGAUGGAGCGACACCGCGUGAAGGAUGAAGGCCUAACGGUUGUAAACUUCUUUUCUGAAGGAGCAUAAUGAGAGUACUUCAGGAAUAAGGGACGGCUAAAUACGUGCCAGCAGCCGCGGUAAUACGUAUGUCCCGAGUGUUACCCGGAAUCAUUGGGUGUAAAGGGUUCGUAGGCGGAUAAUUAAGUUGGGUAUUAAAGACCGAGGCUCAACCUCGUGUUUGUGCCCAAAACUGAUUGUCUAGAAUUAGGGAGAGGUAAGUGGAAUUCUGUGUGUAGGGGUGCAAUCCGUAGAUACACAGAGGAACACCAAAAGCGAAGGCAACUUACUGGAACUAUAUUGACGCUGAUGAACGAAAGCGUGGGUAGCGAAAAGGAUUA